rnacentral:rRNA from 1 species
UUCCGGUUGAUCCCGCCGGACCCGACUGCUAUCAGAGUGGGACUAAGCCAUGCGAGUCAACAUAGCAAUAUGUGGCAUACGGCUCAGUAACACGUAGUCAACAUGCCCGGGGGACGUGGAUAACCUCGGGAAACUGAGGAUAAACCGCGAUAGGUCAUUACUUCUGGAAUGGGUAAUGACUUAAAUCUAUAUGGCCCCUGGAUUGGACUGCGGCCGAUCAGGCUGUUGGUGAGGUAAUGGCCCACCAAACCUGUAACCGGUACGGGCUCUGAGAGGAGGAGCCCGGAGAUGGGCACUGAGACAAGGGCCCAGGCCCUAUGGGGCGCAGCAGGCGCGAAACCUCUGCAAUAGGCGAAAGCUUGACAGGGUUACUCUGAGUGAUUUCCGUUAAGGAGAUCUUUUGGCACCUCUAAAAAUGGUGCAGAAUAAGGGGUGGGCAAGUCUGGUGUCAGCCGCCGCGGUAAUACCAGCACCCCGAGUGGUCGGGACGUUUAUUGGGCCUAAAGCAUCCGUAGCCGGUUCUACAAGUCUUCCGUUAAAUCCAGCCGCUCAACGGAUGGGCCGCGGAGGAUACUACAGGACUAGGAGGCGGGAGAGGCAAGCGGUACUCAGUGGGUAGGGGUAAAAUCCUUUGAUCCAUUGAAGACCACCAGUGGCGAAGGCGGCUUGCCAGAACGCGCUCGACGGUGAGGGAUGAAAGCUGGGGGAGCAAACCGGAUUAGAUACCCGGGUAGUCCCAG